GCAAGCGUUGUUCGGAAUUACUGGGCGUAAAGGGCUCGUAGGUGGCCAACUAAGUCAGACGUGAAAUCCCUCGGCUUAACCGGGGAACUGCGUCUGAUACUGGAUGGCUUGAGUUUGGGAGAGGGAUGCGGAAUUCCAGGUGUAGCGGUGAAAUGCGUAGAUAUCUGGAGGAACACCGGUGGCGAAGGCGGCAUCCUGGACCAACACUGACACUGAGGAGCGAAAGCCAGGGGAGCAAACGGG
rnacentral:rRNA from 1 species